rnacentral:rRNA from 1 species
AUUGAACGCUGGCGGCAUGCUUUACACAUGCAAGCCGAACGGCAGCACGGGCUUCGGCCUGGUGGCGAGUGGCGAACGGGUGAGUAAUGCGUCGGAACGUACCUUUUAGUGGGGGAUAACGUAGCGAAAGUUACGCUAAUACCGCAUAUUCUCUGAGGAGGAAAGCAGGGGACCUUCGGGCCUUGCGCUAAUAGAGCGGCUGAUAUCAGAUUAGCUAGUUGGUGAGGUAAAGGCUCACCAAGGCGACGAUCUGUAGCGGGUCUGAGAGGAUGAUCCGCCACACUGGAACUGAGACACGGUCCAGACUCCUACGGGAGGCAGCAGUGGGGAAUUCUGGACAAUGGGGGCAACCCUGAUCCAGCCAUGCGCGUGAGUGAAGAAGGCCUUCGGGUUGUAAAGCUCUUUCGGCCGGGAAAAAAUCGCAUGGGCUAAUACCCUGUGUGGAUGAUGGUACCGGAAUAAGAAGCACCGGCUAACUACGUGCCAGCCGCCGCCGUAAAAC